UAAUUGAAGAGUUUGAUCAUGGCUCAGAUUGAACGCUGGCGGCAGGCCUAACACAUGCAAGUCG
rnacentral:rRNA from 1 species